UCCUCGAUGGCUCAAGUGACUAGAGCAUCGGACUAUUUAUUCGGAGGUUGCGGGUUCGAGUCCCGCUCGGGGAG